GUGGCAACCAAAUGAGUCGUUUCAAAGAUCCUUGCUUACGCAGGGGGAGCGAUGUUUAUGACUAAACGGCCGCUGGUCCACUCUCCAGCUUCUGCCCUACUGUCUGCCCUGAGGAAACUUAAUGGUCUUGAAAAUCAGUGUGCAUUUGGCAUUUACAGUACAUUUCAAUUCAUAUUUGACUCAUGUCAAGUCUUGAAGACUCACAUAUGGCUAGUGGCUACUAUGCUGGAUAACAAAAACAGAGCGAGCUGAGCCACAGAUAGAUAAGUAUUAUACAAAGUCUCAAUGGGAGUAAAUUCCACUGUCCUCUGAACUUUCCAGGACAUAUUGUAUUCUUCUGGUGUAAAGUGAAAAAAAUCUAUCAGUUGACUUCUGCCCUGUUGAGAUCAUUGCAUGGGAACCUGUGAAGCUGCAAUAAAAUCUUUUAC